rnacentral:rRNA from 1 species
AUUGAACGCUGGCGGCAGGCUUAACACAUGCAAGUCGAGCGAGCGGCGGACGGGUGAGUAAUGUCUCGGAAACUGCCUGAUGGCGGGGGAUAACUACUGGAAACUGUAGCUAAUACCGCAUACUAUCAGAUCUGCCCAGAUGGGAUUAGCUAGUGGGUGGGGUAAUGGCUCACCUAGGCGACGAUCCCUAGCUGGUCUGAGAGGAUGACCAGCCACACUGGAACGGAGACACGGUCCAGACUCCUACGGGAGGCAGCAGUGGGGAAUAUUGCACAAUGGGCGCAAUCCUGAUGCAGCCAUGCCGCGUGUGUGAUGAAGGCCUUCGGGUUGUAAAGCACUUUCAGCGGGGAGGCGUUACUCGCAGAAGAAGCACCGGCUAACUCCGUGCCAGCAGCCGCGGUAAUUC